UACGGAGGGGGCUAGCGUUGUUCGGAAUUACUGGGCGUAAAGGGCGCGUAGGCGGCGCGAUAAGUUGGGCGUGAAAGGCCCGGGCUCAACCCGGGGACUGCGCUUGAUACUGUCGCGCUGUGAGUCCGGGAGAGGAUGGCGGAAUUCCCAGUGUAGAGGUGAAAUUCGUAGAUAGUUGGGAAGAACACCGGUGGCGAAGGCGGCCAUCUGGACCGGCACGUACGCGAGCGCGAAGCGGCUGGGACGG
rnacentral:rRNA from 1 species